AAAAUUUCACCAUGUCUGAGGUGUAAGUGAGUGGUGAAGUCGUGUCAAAGUUUGUAUCUAUACUUUCCAAACUCUGCAUUGGGUUAGGGUUUUCCUCAUCGCCAUGGUCAUCUACAGAGCUUUCAUUCAGGAUGCUGUCCUUUGCUCCUGAAUCAUCUGUUUUCUCGGGGAAGUCUGCACCCACGGACUCGAGACAGAGCUCAGUCUGUGUGCAGGCCAGAUCUGCAUUUUCCAUGGUAUCCCAAGUUAAUCUCAUAUAUGUGUUACAAAAUUUCAGCAUGUCUGAGGUGUAGGUGAGUGGGGAAGUCAUGCUGAAGUUUGUUUCUGUACUUUUCAAACUCUCAAUUGGGGAAGAGGAAUUCAGUUGAUGGGUGGUUGGAGUUAAGGCAGACAUGUGUGCUCUUUGCAAACUGAAUGUGCUUAAAUUACAGUCGCUGUUCUGAUGCAUUAAUGCUCUCUGAACUAAACUGUACUAGAGUGCUUAAGGUCUAUUUAUGGACUUUAGCCACGCCCACUUUAAAGACCAUAAAAGGACUGCUCAUAGAUCAAAGCCUGACGUCAGACGGUGUUCCUUGUUCGAAGAAAACUCUGGUUAAAGUAAAAUGGCUAAAAUAUGUGUUCAGACUCGAAAGGGCACGCUGCAGCGUGACUCCUGUGAUCAGCCACACCCAAUCGGGUUGUUCCUUCUUUUUGAUGCUGGAGAGGGAGAAAUGCAAAUAGUCCUUGCGGAGCUGCUGCCUAAACGAGUGAAAAAAAUAUUAAAAACCAAGCCAGAAGUCUACAUAAAGCAAUCUUUGUACUUUGGAGAAUAUAUUUUUGUUUUUCCGAGCUGUCCUUGCCUUGGUGACGUUGUGAACGUAACCGAACGGGACUUGGCCAUUAAGGUUUGGAUCGGGAAAUGCCAAGCUAGAAUCGGAGUUUGAUCCGCUGAGCGAGAAACAAGAUGGCGAGCCACCCACGGACCCAUUGAACUGUACCGAGCAGGAAAAGGGAAAACCGCCCCUGCUGGAUGUUGAGUUCUUUCGCUAAAAGAAACUGGUAGGACUAAUCCAUACACCUCUGCAAAAGAACAGUGGACUUUCAAAGCACUGGACAAUCAUUCAGAGCAAUUCCAGGAUUUAUAGUUAAAGGACACAGAGACAAUUUUCUUUUGUUUAUUUGUUUGUUUAAGGGAUUUGUUCAGCCUUUUGCUGAAUUGUUUUCAGUUUUUACAUGUUUUUUUGUAAUUUAUUUUGGUCAACCUUACAUUUUAAUGCUGUAAUGGUGUUAAUGGAAAUGUAAAUAAUUUUGUUGGGUUAAAACAAAAUAAGAACUGGUUGAAAUUUAAAGGUGAACCUAGACCAAGAUUAAAUUAAAUCUUGGGCCUAAAGAACUAAAACUUGAUUUAAAAUAACACAGUGUUAAUUCAAAUAGAUUAAAGGAUAAACUUGAACUUAGGAUUUGGAAUAAAUAAAAUAACAUCCUUUUAAAGCCAAAUAAAAGGUUUUGAGAUAAAUAGGAUAAAUUAACAGAAAUUACUGAACUAAAAAAGGGGAAGAAAAUAUCUUGUUUUCCUUAAAUGUGUGAUGUUGAAUGUUUUAUGUAAUUGUGUGUUAACUGUCUAUUCUGUCUUCACAAAAUAAUAAGCCGGCA
ensembl:lncRNA